GGUUGAGUAAAACUCAUUUUGGGUCUGAGAAGAUUUAAUUGAAUUUAGAUUCUCAGACCCAUAGAGAUUCUCUCAAUUGGCAAGUUCUUGGGUUUUGCUCCGAGCUGCAGUCAAAAUCAAAGUGUAUUGGUACACAGCGGCUGGGUGCAUGGUGGACAUUACUAAGCCUUUAUCAGGCCAAUGCUUUCCGAUCAUUGUAUAGAAAUGUUGUGCAAGCUCUAAGAACCUCCGACUUCUUCGACAUGCUUUUCUAGAGCAUGAAGACAGGUUCUUUAGGUUUGCUGUAUAUCUUGUCCUAGAGAAGCUAGAACUUCAGGUCUAUCAGAGAUUGUUAAAAAAAAAAAUUUAUAUUAUCCAAAAGCAGAAGGACCCAAGCAAAGCUCACCAGCUGAAGUUGGAAGUAAUUGUCAAAGCAUUGAAAUGGUCAUUGAUGUGGAUGAGGUUUCUGAUACCGUUAGCUUUCUCACUUUCUUUGUCCCUGGAGAAAAGGAGAGAUACCAGGAUCUUGAGACUUGAGUAGUCCCAUGUUUGGGGGAUUUCAGUGUUAGCAGUGGUCCGCAAAGUUCAAAUUUCUAUUUAUGCAGAGGAAUUUAAACUAUGAAGUUAGAAUUCUUCCUGAAAAUUAUUUUAUCUCAGAUUUUCCAUGCAAAGUUAUCUUUAUUUUUGUGAAAGGCUAGUGUUAUGUUUCUGCUCUGACCUAUACUCUUGUACAGAAAUAUGCAAACCUAGUGGCCAAGUGGUUGAUGAUUGGUAUCUAUCCUAUGGCCUUUUGGCAUGUACUUUGGUUGUUUUAUCAGCAGUUGGCAACUAAUUUGCUAAAACAUUGAAAACGGUAUUAGUUAGUUAAAUUAAGCUACGUCAAUAUUUACAUUAAGCCCUUUUUCUUCUUCAUUGUAAAGAUGGUAAUAUUGAAGGGACAUUGAACUUUCCUACAAGAACUCGUUUCUUGUUCAUGAGCAAAAACAAGAAGCAUUCUAAAGUCUUGAAAUUAGGGAGGUUUGAGCUUAACUGGGAUGAACUGGUGGCUGUUAAAACUCAAUUCAAGAAAGAGAUAAGUGAAGUUAAAGAAACCAGUUUGAUAUAGAUCUCUAGUGAGUUUUUGUGCGUUUCUAUGAGCUGCAAAAUAUUUAUACAUCUCUAAACU